UGCCUGCCCGGUGAUAUAAAAUUAAACGGCUGCGGUACUCUGACCGUGCAAAGGUAGCAUAAUCAUUAGCCUGUUAAUUUCAGGCUGGAAUCAACGGCAAGACGAAGAAAAGACUGUCUCUUUCUAUUAUUUUAGAAUUUUUCUUUUUGGUGAAGAGGCCAAAAUAGAUGAGUGGGACGAGAAGACCCUAUUGAGUUUUAAUUAUUUAAAUAAGUAAAUUUUUUAAAAUAAUUUUGGUUGGGGCAACUACUUAUAUAAUUAUACAUAGGUAAGACGAAGGUGAAUUAAAUCUAAAAAAGGAAUCCAAAAGUUUUUGAAAUUAAAAAAAAUUACCUUAGGGGUAACAGCGUAAUUCUUUUUGAGAGUACAUAUUGACAAAAGAGUUUGCGACCUCGAUGUUGGAUCAAGUUUUCCUGAAGGUGCAGUAGCUUUCAAAGGUUGGUUUGUUCAACCAUAAAAAUCUU
rnacentral:rRNA from 1 species